rnacentral:piRNA from 1 species
UGGGAGUGACCAAUGAGUCCAAGCUCUCUC